rnacentral:lncRNA from 1 species
UCUUAGAAAAGUCUUAGAAAGUCUUGUUUUCAAUUUGCUAGUGUUCACCUCCUUCCUUCUCGAAAAUCUGUAAGAGAGUGAACCGCUUGUAAAGAGUUGUAAGAGGGGUAUUUACCCUUCCCUUUCAAGAGAUUUGCUAGUGGAAGGUGGGAGCCUCAUCGAAGAGGGGCCUCGCAAGUGGAUGUAGGUCAUUUGACCAAACCACUCUAAAAUUGGAGUAAUCUCUGGUUUGCGUUUACUUAUCGCAAUUUAUCUUACUGCAAACUUUCUUACGUACUUUAUAAUCUUG